UACAGAGGUCUCAAGCGUUGUUCGGAUUCAUUGGGCGUAAAGGGUGCGUAGGCGGCGCGGUAAGUCGGGUGUGAAAUCUUGGAGCUUAACUCCGAAACUGCAUUCGAUACUGCCGUGCUUGAGGACUGGAGAGGAGACUGGAAUUUACGGUGGAGCGGUGAAAUGCGUAGAUAUCGGAAGGAACGCCGGUGGCGAAAGCGACGUGCUGGACCCUUUCUGACGCUGAGGCGCGAAAGCCAGGGGAGCAAAGCGGG
rnacentral:rRNA from 1 species